UCUCUAAAAAAGGUGGAGUCUCUUGUCUUCCAAAUAAGUUUCAGUGCCUUUUCCCCACAGUUUAUGCCCAGUUCAUUCUCCUGCGCAUAAACGGCGUAAUUGAAUCACUUUGCCUCACUAUUCAAGCUAAAAGAUAUUGAAGCAAAUAUAUUCUUAGGAAAAUAAAUAUCAAUGGACCCACCAACAAUCGUAAGUUAUGACAGGAAUAAAGUAUUGGGCGUGGGUAUUUCCGCACAAGUAUUCGCUGGCCAAUUUAAUGGAGAGCAAGUUGCUGUCAAAAGGAUUCUCAAAAGAGCAGAUUCCGAUUUGGACCAAGAAUUUCAAAACCGAGAAGAACAGACCAUGAAGAAUCUAAAACACGAGAACGUUCUCAAACUGAUAGAUGUCCAACAAGACAUGGACUUUAAGUAUCUGAUACUGGAAUUAUGUAUUGCAACAGUCAACGAUUACAUCAAAGGAAACUAUAAAAGGGAGAUGCCCACCGAGAUCGAUGCGUUGAUUCAAAUGGCAAGCGGAUUGGCUUACAUCCACUCCCAAUGUUUGGUCCAUCGAGACAUCAAGCCGGCCAACGUGUUGAUUUCUCAAUCGAUUGUUCUAAAAAUUUCCGAUUUCGGAGUCUGUCGGCCCGUGACAAGUUCCGGCAGUUUCUCGAUGACUAGUGGCCCAAAAGGCACCCGCAUCUAUUACUCGCCUGAAUUCAUCGAAUCCGAGGGGAAAAGCAAAGAAGAUAAAGAAAAAAUCAGAGCUAACGUGACGAUCGACAUCUUCUCGCUGGGCUGCCUCUAUUUCAGUUACCUCACAGAAGGCUGCCAUCCGUUUGCCAAAAAUGGAGGAUCGCCCGACGAGUUUGGAACUAUCUCCAACAUCCAAUCAGAUAUAAAGGUUCUCGACAAUGGAAAGUUGUCACCGAAUCAUUACGCAUUCGCCGUGAUUGAUGGAAUGACGAAAAAAAAUCCCAACGAGCGCUGGAAAUUGGAUGAAGUCCUAAAGAUUCUAAAUAACGAGAAAGAAAAGAAUUAAUAAAUUUUAUCAUUUUCGGGAUGUCCAGUGACAAGAUUUCAAAAAAAAAAAUAAAUGUUUAAUUCAAUAAACAGUUGAAAUAAUUCACAACAAAUUAAACUAAGUUUUUAGAUGCAACAGAUUCCUUAUAAGUUACAAAUUUACAAAGCAUAAAGUUGCCAGGCUUUGAAGACAAAUAAACGAUGCAACAAUAAUCGUCAAAUAAAAAGAUUGCAACACGCUUCGACACGAUAAAGUGAUAACGUCAUUUGAGUUGGUCGCACGAGAUAAAAUUCUGUCUAAUCUUAAAUUUGUUACCGAGUUCAGUAAUCGUCGCUUCAGCUCGACUCUAUAGUUUGUUUAAAACUACUUGAACGGUUUUGCUUAAGGUUGUUCGAAUGUUGUCAGCAACAACAGAGAAUGAACCAUCCACCCCAAAACUACUUGGUAAAGGGGCUUUCGGUAUUGUUUACGAAGGAAAAUGGAAUGGAGUGAAAGUUGCCAUCAAACGGAUAGACAAGACGGAAUUUCUAGCGUCUGAUGGAUCCAUCACCAACGCUACAACUGCUGGACAACGAAGUGAGGAAGAGGUCAUGAAAAAACUGGACCACCCUAACGUGCUCAAACUACUUCACGUCGAAAUCGAUAAGAAUUUCAAAUAUUUCUAUCUUGAAUUGUGUCUGGCCACCAUUGGAGAUUAUUGCAAAGGAAAGUACGCUGGGCCCAUGCCACCGGAAGCAAAUUCUUUACAUCAAAUGGCCAGUGGAUUGGCUUACAUUCAUUCAAUCGGGUUAGUGCAUCGAGAUAUAAAAGAGGACAAUGUUCUUAUAUACAAAUCGGCCGAAGAUCGCAUCUGGCUCAAGAUUUCAGAUUUCGGCUUGUGUAAGCUAACAUCGGCUAGUGGUAGCUACUCGAUGAGAAGUGGCGUCAAGGGAAAUCAAAAGUUCUUUUCGCCCGAACUCCUUCAACUAGCCGACCAGCAAGCUAGGAGUUUCGAUAGCGUAGUUCAUCAGAGAAGUAACGUGUCGUCCGACGUCUUCGCGCUGGGCUGUCUCUUUCACAGUUACUUGACUAAAGGGAAACAUCCUUUCUCCGAUUCACGAGGAUCAUUCUUUAUCCCGAUUAAUAUUCUCGAAGGAAAAUUCCACCUCGACGAUCAAAUCAACACGACUUUCCGGCUCGUAAUCACCGGAAUGAUUAUUCUUAAUCCUGAAACACGCUGGAGUUUGGAUGCCGUCGAAGUACAA